AGUGCCGUUGAUACUGUAGAGCUAGGAUUAGGUUGCUGUGGGCGGAAUGUGUGGUGUAGCGGUGAAAUGCUUAGAGAUCACACAGAAUAUCGAUUGCGAAGGCAGCUCACAAAGCCUAAAUUGACGCUGAGGCACGAAAGUGUGGGGAUCGAACAGGAUUAGAUACCCUGGUAGUCCACACUGUAAACGAUGAUAACUCGCUGUCGGCGAUAUACAGUCGGUGGCCAAGCGAAAGCGAUAAGUUAUCCACCUGGGGAGUACGACCGCAAGGUUGAAACUCAAAGGAAUUGACGGGGGCCCGCACAAGCGGAGGAACAUGUGGUUUAAUUCGAUGAUACGCGAGGAACCUUACCCGGGCUUGAAUUGCAGAGGAAUGUCGUGGAAACAUGGCAGCUAGUAAUAGUCUCUGUGAGGGUGCUGCAUGGUUGUCGUCAGCUCGUGCCGUGAGGUGUCGGCUUAAGUGCCAUAACGAGCGCAACUCUCAUAUUCAUUUACUAACGUGUUACGCUGAGGACUCUGGAUACACUGCCGUCGUAAGAUGUGAGGAAGGUGGGGAUGACUUCAAAUCAGCACGGCCCUUACGUCGGGGGCGACACACGUGUUACAUGGGGGGUACAGAAGGUUGCUACACAGCGAUGUGAUGCUAAUCCAAAAGCCUCUCUCAGUUCGGAUCGAAGUCUGCACCCGA
rnacentral:rRNA from 1 species